rnacentral:rRNA from 1 species
AGCAGCCGCGGUAAUUCCAGCUCCAAUAGCGUAUAUUAAAGUUGUUGCAGUUAAAAAGCUCGUAGUUGAAUUUCGGGGUCAGUAGGUUGGUCAUGCCACUGGUAUGUACUGGUCUCACUGAUUCCUCCUUCCUGAUGAGCCGUAAUGCCAUUAAUUUGGUGUUGCGAGGAAUUUGGACUGUUACUUUGAAAAAAUUAGAGUGUUUAAAGCAAGCUAACGCUUGAAUACAUUAGCAUGGAAUAAUGAAAUAGGACGUUCGAUCCUAUUUUGUUGGUUUCUAGGAUUGACGUAAUGAUUAAUAGGGAUAGUUGGGGGCAUUAGUAUUCAAUUGUCAGAGGUGAAAUUCUUGGAUUUAUUGAAGACUAACUACUGCGAAAGCAUUUGCCAAGGAUGUUUUCAUUAAUCAAGAACGAAAGUUAGGGGAUCGAAGACGAUCAGAUACCGUCGUAGUCUUAACCAUAAACUAUGCCGACUAGGGAUCGGAUGAUGUUAAUUUUUUAAUGACUCA